CGGGGAGAUGACUCCCAGGCGUCGACGGGUAGCCGGCCUGAGAGGGUGACCGGCCACACUGGGACUGAGACACGGCCCAGACUCCUACGGGAGGCAGCAGUGGGGAAUAUUGCACAAUGGGCGGAAGCCUGAUGCAGCAACGCCGCGUGAGGGAUGACGGCCUUCGGGUUGUAAACCUCUUUUAGCAGGGAAGAAGCGAGAGUGACGGUACCUGCAGAAAAAGCACCGGCUAACUACGUGCCAG
rnacentral:rRNA from 1 species